CACUUACAGAGCUAGACCUACACACACUGAAAAAAUACAAAGAAAAUAUCCUUGAAAAUACACUGAUUCUACACUGCUUUUUGAGUCUCUUUUCUUCAUUUUAACAAAGAACUCCUAUUGGUUUCAUAUUUUAGCUGGGAUUUCUGAGUUCGAAUUUAAAGACGUUUUAGUUUCCUGUUUGGUAUUCUUGCUGCUGCUUUUGCUCAGAUUUUUCAGAAACUUAUUUUCUAUCUUUCUGUUUGUUUUCUUGCUGCUAUCAAGGAGAUAAUUUCAACUUAACUGGGUACGUUGAUGCUGAUUAUGCUAGCUAUCUAUUGGAUAGAAAGAUCACAUCUGGCAUGGCACAUUUUCUGGGAUCGUGUUCAUUUUUUUGGGGUACAAAGAAACAAAACUCUAUGGAUCUUUCAACUGCAGAAGCUGAGUAUGUGGCAGUUGCCUCUUGUUGUGCUCAACUACUGUGGAUCAAGCAAUAACUAGAGGACUUUGGUGUAUUUUUUGAUUGUGUUAUAUUAUUGUGUGAUAACACCAGUUCUCUCAACACGACAAAAAAUCUGGUUCAGCAUAAGAGAACAAAGCAUAUUGAUGUAUGACAUCAUUUUCUUAGAGUAAUGUUGAAAAAUGUCGUAUCUGCA